UAACGCGUGAGGAACCUGCCUUCCAGAGGGGGACAACAGUUGGAAACGACUGCUAAUACCGCAUGAUGCGUUGGAGCCGCAUGACUCUGACGCCAAAGAUUUAUCGCUGGAAGAUGGCCUCGCGUCUGAUUAGCUAGUUGGUGAGGUAACGGCCCACCAAGGCGACGAUCAGUAGCCGGACUGAGAGGUUGGCCGGCCACAUUGGGACUGAGAUACGGCCCAAACUCCUACGGAAGGCAGCAG
rnacentral:rRNA from 1 species